GCACUAGGAGAAAGCACAGGAUUUCACAGCUGGGCAAGUGGAUAGAAGCAGCUUAAAACCACCUCACAUGCGAUUUCAAGGGAGCAUUGAGGACAUUUUGAGGCGUACAGUCUGCAACUAGAAAUUCCUGAGGUCUGAGCUGGUGAUAAGGACAAAAGACAAUGAGCAAGCAAAGUAACUAGCACUGAUCAUCUAACUCCCUCUUACCACUUGAUUUCCCACUAACUGGCUUUUGCUACAUGAGAACUGAAGAGCAGGCUGUGUACUCUACUCAACCUGAAUCAAACCUGCUGAAACAAGGCUUCUGUGAAGCAGGUUGACAGCAUGGAACAAAGGAUAUGAAAAAUUACUAACAAGAAUGAAUGCCUGAGAACUGGAUGUUCUAAAGUGCUACUGUAAAUGAAUGAGCAACAUGGAAAUGGAUGGAAAAGAAAUACAUAAGGUAAGGAACAAUGACUGAAUCAGAGCAAACAAUAACAACAUACAUUUGAACAAACAUAGGCUGAAAUUACCAGAGUUCUCUGUCUCUCUCUGACUGAGAGAGAGAGUUCCAAAUAAAACUGAAGGCCAAGAACGCUGUUUGUUCUUAAGGAGACAUUAGAUGAGUUUACAAAAGGUGAAAUAUGAUGAGGAUUCCUGUGAUAGAAGUUGUCUGGGAGCAGCUCAGGGGAGCUGCUAGUCCUGUUGCAAUAGGUUCAGGCUACUGUGCACUACUCAAAAUAGGGACACUAUAAUAAUACUUAUACAAGAGAUACUGCUUUUGUAGAGGCUUAACAAUGGGAGGAGAACAAAUACAAGAUGUUUUAAAGGGAAAGCAUUUUUUGAGGAUUGUACUCAGCAGAUGGAAUAUGCAUUGGUAUGGAGAAAUAGAUUAAGCUUUUCUGCGCAUAUAGGUUGUAACUUAUUUAAUGCCUCCAAUUUUUCCUGUAGUAAUAGGAAAUAGUGCUGCUUUUUGGAAUUCUACUCUUAGUGGAGCUGGCUGAUGAUGUGAUUCAUAUCUGCUAUUAUGGUUCUCACUUAGCUCCAUAGCAUUCUCUUCUGUUUAAAAACAAUACCUUUUAUUCAUACAGUGUUUUUCAGACCACAAUCUUAAGUACUUCCUAGAAACCCUAAUAAAAGUGACAGAAAUAUCUUCACAAUUCCAAAGCACGUUGUAAUUUUGUUGAUUUUUUUUUAAAUUGCUAUUUACCAAAUAACAUUGAGACAAGCUGUUAGAAGAGUGAAUUAAAAACAUAUGCUAAUCCAUGUCAUAUUUAAUGCACUCAUCUGUCAUCACAUUCUGUUAUCAUUUUAUCUGUUGUGUCAUGUUUAUAACAUCAGUACAGAUUUCCUAUAAAUAUAUAUGUAAUUCCCUAUAAACGAUAUUUUUCAAGCCUCUUAAACAUUCAGAAUGCAUUUCUCUUGUGUUAUGCUUUUGUUUCUUAAGUGCUGCAUAUUCUAUUACCAAGAAAGAAGUCAAAAUUUAAUUAUUGGAA